rnacentral:rRNA from 1 species
AUACGUAGGUGGCAAGCGUUGUCCGGAUUUACUGGGUGUAAAGGGCGUGUAGGCGGAGAUGCAAGUCAGGAGUGAAAUCUAGGGGCUCAACCCCUAAACUGCUUUUGAAACUGUAUCCCUUGAGUAUCGGAGAGGCAGGCGGAAUUCCUAGUGUAGCGGUGAAAUGCGUAGAUAUUAGGAGGAACACCAGUGGCGAAGGCGGCCUGCUGGACGACAACUGACGCUGAGGCGCGAAAGCGUGGGGAGCAAACGGGAUUAGAUACCCUGGUAGUCCACGCUGUAAACGAUGAAUACUAGGUGUGGGGGGACUGACCCCCUCCGUGCCGCAGUUAACACAAUAAGUAUUCCACCUGGGGAGUACGAUCGCAAGAUUGAAACUCAAAGGAAUUGACGGGG